AAAAGCUAAAACAAGUGUGAACAGGUUCCAGUCAAGCGGUCACUAUCCCUGGACAGACACAAUGAGGGAUUUUGAUGAAGACACUGCAUUUUUAGGAGACUGGGGGCCUUAUCAAAAAUUAAUCUUCAUUCUCCUGGGUCUCAGCAGCAUCCCCAAUGGAUACGUGGGAAUGGCCAUGGUUUUCAUGGCUGAUAUUCCUCCUCACCACUGCAGGCUUCCAUUCCUGAACAGCAGCAGCUAUGGGGGACCGGGCUACAAUCUGUCCCUCCCGACCGAGGAGGUAAGAGGAGAGGUCAUCCUGAGUCGCUGCAGACGCUAUGCGGAACAGGGGGCUUUGGAUGCCGGGUCUAACCAAAGCUCAGAGCGCUGUCUGGAUGGCUGGGUGUUCAGCAAGGAGAGAUACGUGUCCACCAUUGUGACUGAGUGGGAUCUGGUGUGUGAUGAUGAAUGGAAAACUCCUUUUACAGUCACCUUGUUCUUCUUUGGGGUGCUGAUGGGGUCGUUUCUGUCAGGAAUUAUAUCAGACAGGUAUGGAAGAAAAUGUAUCUUCUUUGCCACACUGGCAGUCCAAACUGUCUUUAGCUUAAUCCAGGCAGCUUCCAACAGCUGGGAGAUGUUCUGUGUGUUCUACUUCAUUGUCGGCCUGGGACAAAUAGCAAAUUAUUGUGCAGCUUUCGUUCUAGGAUGUGAGCUUCUGAAUAAGUCAUGCCGUGUCAGCUUUGCCACUCUGGGUGUCAGCUUAUCGUACGCUUUCGGCUAUCUGUGCCUCCCUGUCUUUGCCUACUUCAUCCGGGACUGGAGAAUGCUUACGGUGGCCUUGUCUGCUCCAGGAUUCCUGUACAUACCUAUGUGGUGGUUUAUCCCAGAGUCCCCUCUCUGGCUACUGUCUCAGGGUCGAGUGGAGGAGGCUGAGGCCAUCAUUAGAGCUGCUGCCAAGAAGAACGGCAUCACUCCUCCUGACGUCAUCUUCAAGAGAGACGACACUGCACAGCUGAUGGAAAAGGAUGAUGGAGAUGAUCAGAAAAAAUAUACAUGGCUGGAUCUCAUAAGAACAACAAAUAUAAGAAAUAUCACAAUCCUGAAUGUAAUAAUUUGGUCAAUAAUAUCUCUGACUUACUACGGACUGUCAUUAAACACCCCUAAUAUGGAUGGAGAUCCUUACCUGAACUGUGUCUUUGCUGCUGGCACUGAGUUUGCCGGGUACACUAUGAUGUAUUUUGCGGGGCGUUAUGUUUCACGACGCUUGACGCUGUCAUCCUGCAUAUUUUUCUGUGGGAUCAUGCUGCUCCUCAUCAAGAUUGUUCCAGCAGAACUGGGCGCUUUGAGUGUCACCUUGGCCAUGUUUGGAAAGAUCUCCAUGACGGGGGCCUUUGCUUUUGUCUAUCUCUAUGGUACUGAGCUGCUGCCCACCGUGGUGCGGAACAUGGGCCUGGGAAUGACCACUAUGGCCUCUCGAGUGGGCAGCAUGUUAUCUGCGCAGAUAGCCUACAUAGGGACAUAUAAUAAGGUGUUACCCUAUAUUCUUAUGGGGUGCAUGUCCAUAAUCUGUGGGGUUUUAAGUCUGCUAUUACCAGAAACAAAAGAUGAGGCGCUUCCGGAGCACAUCAGCCAAGUUAAACCUCUCCAUUGAUGCAGUGACUGAGACUGGGAGAUGGGCCUUCCCAUUGCCUUGGGAUGGUAAGUAUUGAUCUAUUGGCAGUGGAGAAGACCCUUUUAAUUGUACCACCUUCUCUCUUCCUUCACUGUUGUCUCUGUCCACAGAAACUGCUUUUCAGUUAUAGCCGUAGCCUUUCAACUUCUGUCAGAAAAAGACGUUGAGAUUGGUGUAGCAACGUAGCAUAGGCUGUUUUGGAUAGCGACAUUGGACAGAAAUAUAGACAUAACGAGUUCAUUUGAUGAAGAAUACGUGCAGUUUGAGCCAUCUAGAUCGACAAAAGGUGAAGCAAAUUGGCAUACUUUAUCAGUAUAGCAAAGGCUAAUGUGAAUAGUUGAAUUAAAUGCUCCUUGUGCGUUUUGUCGAGUUCAGAGACAAAAGCAGUGUUUGACAUGGUAAUGCUGUCUUUUAAGAAACGUUCAGUGGCCUGAUCAGUAGACCUAGUCUACUCUACAGGGUUUAACAUGUAUUGUGAACACUGUUCACACAACUUUAUUGGUUGGUUAAACACACUAGCACAAUCCCACAAUCUGUAAGUAGCCUAGGCUGCAGGUUAAAACAUUUCAAACCAAUUUUACAAAUUAAAGCCUAGUCUACCCUACCCAGUUUAUUUAUCACCUGGUUUGGUCCAACAAAUAUUCAGACUUAUCUUAUUCAGACUUAUUCUAAUAGUCUACUAUGAAGUGUCCAUUAGGCCUAUGAAAUCUUCAGAAAUGUCUGAUAACUUCAGACAUAAAGAAAGAAAGAAAGAAAACUUGUGUAGAUUACUGAGGAGAGGAGGGCCAGGCUGAAGCAUGUUGCCAAACAGUGCAAGUGGGCCCCUUCACACUUAGGCCCAAGCCAAAAAGAAAUAAAGGUAUUUUCUUGUAAAAAUGAGUUAUUUUGUAGUUUGUUUUCUUUAUAAAUCUAUGAUUUUAGGCAACUUCAUACUCCAUGGAAGCUAUGCACUAUUGGCAACAAUGUCUCUCGCGCUUGUUUUGCUAUGAAACGGCCAUUUCCCUCGUCGCACGCCCUUCUCACCUUUUUCACCCCUGACCUGUUUUCAUGCCUGAUUUGAGUUACAGGAGCAACGCCUCUCUGAUGCACAGACCUUUGAUACCCUAGUAGGUUUUACAAGUCUCGAAGUAAUGGAUUCCCUAGAAUAAAAUAAUACAGUGCUCUCACACACUGUUAGAUUCCUCUGUGGAGUGUCAGUCAACUUUAUUAUGGACUUAUUUCAACAGGUGCUGCAAAUUUCAAGAAUUGGUGGGCGGAACACCAAGGACUGUGCUGGGUUGGACAGGUCUCUACAUGAGCAUGUCAGAAUAGGUGACGUUUAUACAGUAGUGCUCAUUAGUUUACACACCCAUGCUAAAGUUGACUAAAAAGAGGAAUAAAAAAAUAAAAUUGUCCCACAUACACACAUCACAUACCCUUCGCCAUACCUAGAAAUUGACAUGGAGUGCUUUCCAUAAGAUCAUCUUUCAAUGCAAAUCAAACCAGCUAUUAGGCUAACCGAAAUAAAACCAUGUCAAUCUCUAGGUAUGUUUAAGGGUAUGUGAUGUGUGCUAUUUUAAUUCCAAAGGCCGAGGGACCUUUAUCAGAAUACACAGUAUGAAAUAACUAUACAAAUUUGCCGGCCUCUAUGGGAAUUAAAGAUAGGGGUUGUAUACGUAUGCCCCCUGUAUUUUAAGGAAGAACAUUUAUUUAUUUGCAAUACAUUAUUCAUUCAUAAAGAAAAUUGGGGUCCUUGUUGGAAAUAGGACAAGUUGGAUUUGUCCUAUUUUUUUGCUUAAGGCAUCAAGAUCAAUUUACAAAAGAUUUUUUUUUUUUUUUUAUUCCUCUUUUUAGUUAACUUUAACAUGGGUGUGUAAACGUAUGAGCUUAACUGUAGACCAGCUGUGGACAAGGAGAUAAGUAGAGGGAUAAAAGGAGGACCACCCUAGGGGACACUGAUCAACUAGUGUAAAUGAUUUAUUGCAUUUGUAAUGUUAUUCCUACAUAUAUCCUUCACAUUCAUUUAUUGAAAUGUAUUUUUCUUUAGGCUCUUCACCAACAGCCUCAUGGCCAAAUUUAAUUUGAAGGGCAAGGGGAAAAAGGGGAAACAUCCUUUAGAGGGAACAAAGGUUUAUAGAGCAAUACAAGAAGGGCUCAUGAAAUUCGAUCCCACAGCCACCGAGGAGAACAUCAAAGCGAACGUGUCCGAGCACCUGAAGCACGCGCCGCAGCCGUGGAGGAUUUACAACGCCCUGAUAAGCCAGCCCCCUCACUCCGAGACGGCCCUAAAUGAUAUCGGCCUCCACCUCACCAGUGUUGUGGUGACAGAGGCGUGGACAUUUAGUCAAGAUUGUGUUUCCCUCUUGAAAAGUUUUUUUAUAACACUGGAGCUACUGGAUGGCUCACAUACAUACACACACACACACACACACUCACUUACACAGGAUUUUUAAAGAGUUAAAUUUAAAGAGUUCAAUUCAAUUAAAAUCUUAUUCAGAUAGAUAGAUAGAUACUUUAUUGAUCCCCAGGGGAAAUUCAAGAAAUUCAUUCAUAAUUCUGCUUCAACUGUAUUAUGCCUGAUAUGUCUGGUGCCCUGAUGCCGUUCAGGGCCAUUUGUUUUUGAAUAAAGAUGGAAAUGGGUAUUGAAUUGUGA